rnacentral:rRNA from 1 species
AGUGAACGCUGGCGGUAGGCCUAACACAUGCAAGUCGAACGGCAGCACAGUAAGAGCUUGCUCUUACGGGUGGCGAGUGGCGGACGGGUGAGGAAUACAUCGGAAUCUACUUUUUCGUGGGGGAUAACGUAGGGAAACUUACGCUAAUACCGCAUACGACCUACGGGUGAAAGCAGGGGAUCUUCGGACCUUGCGCGAAUGAAUGAGCCGAUGUCGGAUUAGCUAGUUGGCGGGGUAAAGGCCCACCAAGGCGACGAUCCGUAGCUGGUCUGAGAGGAUGAUCAGCCACACUGGAACUGAGACACGGUCCAGACUCCUACGGGGGGCAGCAGUGGGGAAUAUUGGACAAUGGGCGCAAGCCUGAUCCAGCCAUACCGCGUGGGUGAAGAAGGCCUUCGGGUUGUAAAGCCCUUUUGUUGUGAAAGAAAAGCAGCAGGUUAAUACCCCGCUGUUCUGACGGUACCCAAAGAAUAAGCACCGGCUAACUUCGUG